rnacentral:tRNA from 1 species
GCACGAGUGGCGGAACUGGUAGACGCACCGGAUUUAGGAUCCGGUUUUCGAAAGGAAGUGGAGGUUCAAGUCCUCUCUCGUGCA